AAACCAUAUGAACUAGGAAAGAAAACAUUCAGUAUAAAUGAUAAUGUAAGAUCAUGUAACUUUCAGAUACCUAAAGAAUGAAGACAGUGUCAAAAUACACAUUUGGUAUGUCAGAUUAAAUCUGCACAAGAACCUCUAACCUAGCAUAAACUAAAUUCUUACAAAACUUGAUUUCACAACCUUAUCUUUUUCCCAAAAAAAUGCUCAGUUUUAAAAUGCAGCAAAAUCUUAAAACGCAAUCCAUCAUCUGGAGCUAAAUUUAUGCCUUUGUGCUCCCUUAACAGUUUUAGAAUUCAGAUGCCAAGCAGAGAUCUUUACCAAUUAGGGUAACAAGCUGAUCAGCCAGGAGGUUAUUUGGGAACUCCACGGAGAAGCCCAUGAGGUUUUUUUGUGAUUCAUGAUGAUGACAGAGAAGCGCAGGUUCCACUUUAGUUUUUUACUUUCUGCCCAGUGCCAUCUUUCCUCAGCUGACUCAUUUUGCACCUUUCCUUGUCCCAGUUGCUGUCUUCUCUCUCUGCAGACCUUUGGUCCUCAUUGAAGGUUUCCAUUCCUUUGCUCUGCAAUUUGAGCUGCUCCCCCUCAUCCCUUUGCUUCCUCAUCCUCUCCCAAGCUCCUUUCCCAUGUCAGCUGGAGUUCUCCUCCUCCUCCCCCUCGCUGAAGCACCAGGAUGGGAGCAACCAGAGUGCACCAGAAAUCACUUCCACCUCCUCUGCUCGGUGCUGCAGCAUCCUCAGCUUGUUGGAAGAUGUCAGGGCAGGGAUGUCCUGCUCACCCCCAUCAGCUGUGACUGUCUGAAAUCUGUUUCAGAGCCAGAAAUACAGAUUGAAUCUCAGGACUUCUACACCUUUGGUUCAGCAGCAAGACCAUCUGUCACUUCUAAUUCCUGCUAUGAAAAAGAUGAUCUAGUUAUCUUUGAUGGAAUAGUUCUGAAUUUGCAAGCUAGAGUCUUCUCCUUUUCCUCAAUUAGAUUUUCCUCCCCUCCUACAUGCUGGAAUCUCUAUUUGAAGGUUCAGCCUUGGAUAAAGCUAAACCCCAAAAGAAUGAUGUCUUUUUAA
rnacentral:lncRNA from 1 species